GUCCUCGUGGUGCAAUGGAUAGCACGCAAGCCUCCGAAGCUUGAAAUAUGGGUUCGACUCCCGUCGAGGGCAUCA
rnacentral:tRNA from 1 species